UGCAGUCUAGUAAAGAGGGCAGGUAAUUCGAUAAAGGGUUAAAAGCCACUGUAAAUGUAGGAUUAGAGGAAUGUAGGCAGACGGUGAUGGGGACGUGGACAUGGGGCUGAUGGAGCACCCAACUGCCCAGCUGUGGGCUGACAGGAUAGUGUGGGUGGUUGAGGGUUGAGCUGGCUUUUGAAGUGUACAGAGAAUUCGCCAGCCAGAUAAGAGCGGAACGCAUCUGAGAGUGAAAAGAUUAUGCAAAGGCUCAGGCGUAUAAAAGAACCAUGUCACAUUCAGGAACUCUGAGGAGUGAGGAGUAGCAAGAGAGCAGUGGGUACUUGGAGCAAAUACGAUUGGAGACAAGGCUGGUGAGGCAGGCGGGAGAAAGCAGGGCUCAGUGUGCCCUGUACUGGAAUCUGCUCUUGCUCUGGGUUGAAGAUAGCAAGUGCAUCUCUGGGCAACUACUGCAGCUGGCUGUGGGGGACUGAUGCAUACUGUUGAGGCUGAUCUUACUCUGUCUCCUCUCUAUGUUGGACAACAUCAUUGUCACUAUCAACAUGACUUUGUCCCUUCUUGCUGUCUCCCUUUUAUCCCUCCAAAUGCUCAAUCGAAAUACCUGAACUACCCGAAAGUUAAAUGCACCACUGCAUCUAUUCAGGUUCAAGAACAGUAUUUCACAUUACCUGUGAAGCCCUCAAUGAAGGCUGACUGCUGUACAUCCCCGCUAAUCGUCAAGACAAGAAUUUUGUAUUGGCGGCCUGGUGUUAGGGAAGUAAAUCGAUACUCGGUUGCGGUAUUUACAAGGUGAAAAGGAGGAAAUACUUUCAUGUCAUUGAAGAGCAGCUGGAUCUCAUAUUGGUCGACAUCCCCAUUAGCUCCUGACCAAGUCACAUGCAAGUCCUCAGUGCUCCUGUUGCGCAAUGUUAGAUCCUUAACAGGCUCUGGAACUAGGGAGAAAAAUGAGAAGACAUUUCAGGAAAGGAACUGAUCAGAGUUUACCUACAUAAUAAUUUAUGAAUCACAUUCAAGGAACUGGCAACAUCUCCCUUCCCCAAAUAAACCACUAGCACUACUUCAUGCAUAAUUAAACAAGAAAAAUUGGAAGCAACUAUUAACAUUGUGGUUUUUUCCUGACAUAAAUGUUACAUGAUCAGCAUUGGUAGAACAUAAUUAUAAAAUGAGUUAUGAUCUCAAUCAUAAGAUAAAACAAGAAGUCUAGAAUCUAAAUGCCAUGAUGCAGGAAGAUAGGGAAGAAAAAUGGGACAUUUAGCCUUCUUGCUCCCUCACUAUGUUUGCUUUUAUCUACCAAUAAAUAUUCUGUAAUUAUAGGCCAUGGCUUGGCUGAAUGAUGUUAGCACCAAGUGAGACUUACUGGGAAUGUAAUGUACUAAUGAAUAAGCAGAAAAAAUUCAAGGUUCAGAUAAAUUACUAGAGACUUUCAAGUCCAACCAACUGUCAGAUUUUGCAAUCGUUC
rnacentral:lncRNA from 1 species